rnacentral:rRNA from 1 species
UACGAAGGGGCUAGCGUUGCUCGGAAUCACUGGGCGUAAAGGGUGCGUAGGCGGGUCUUUAAGUCAGGGGUGAAAUCCUGGAGCUCAACUCCAGAACUGCCUUGAUACUGAAGAUCUUGAGUUCGGGAGAGGUGAGUGGAACUGCGAGUGUAGAGGUGAAAUUCGUAGAUAUUCGCAAGAACACCAGUGGCGAAGGCGGCUCACUGGCCCGUACUGACGCUGAGGUGCGAAAGCGUGGGAGCAACAGG